UUUUGGUUACUGAGACCCUCGAAGUCCCAUAUGAAUUGUAGCAGCAGCUAGUCAGUUUCUGCAGAGGAGCCCGCAGGGAUUGUGAUCGAGACCACGUUGAAUAUACGGAUCGCUCUGGGGAGCAUUGCCAUCCCAAGAGCACUGUCUUCUGACCGAGGAAUAUGCGUGGUGUGUCUGUCCAGGUGCCCUCACCUCCAGUGGCAUCCAUCCAGACACCAGUAUUGACACUGGCUGUGCUCAGAACUGCCUCAGCCCUGAAGACACAACUGACAAAUAGAAGGGAGCCACGCCCUGUUACAGCUGUGCCUCACUUUGUGGGUCCUUAUGUAGCUGCGCGGUGUUAAUCAGGAUCGCCCGUUCUACAUUGUGUGGCGCUGCUGCGGUGACUCCUAGUUACUUGUUUCUCUCGCUUUAUUCACUCAGGGGUAUAUCAUAGACGUCCUCCCACUGCAGACUCACCCGGUCCUUUCAGAUAGAGUGGAGGGGUCUCCAGUUGUGCAGGUGUGGUC